UGGAGAGUAUGUUUCGAUGAAAAGCUAUGAACCUCGUCAGAUUCGGAAGAAAGCAGCGAUAAGUAGUGUAUUCGUGCGAUAUAACAUGCUUUCCACUG
rnacentral:SRP_RNA from 1 species